UCGCGGGAUGGAGCAGUCUGGUAGCUCGUCGGGCCCAUAACCCGAAGGUCGCAGGUUCAAAUCCUGCUCCCGCAAU
rnacentral:tRNA from 2 species